AAAACCUCGUCCCCUUUGGCUAGCCAGUUUUGAUCAUGCAGAAAACUUUGAAUUAGACAAUAAAAUACACGACUAGCUAGCCACGGCAAAUGAGACCUACUUCGCCAUAAAUAAGCAAUCUACCACUUCUGUCUACUGUAAACAGGUCCUGCCCUCCAGCCUUCUCUGAAGCGAUCUCUGCCCCUGUAGCAGCCUUCACACCACACACAGAAACGCACGUACAGACACACAUAUACACACGUGGGCCUCUGGACGAGGAUGACUAUGGAAGAGAUGAAGAAUGAAGCGGAGAUGACCUCGAUGGUUUCCAUGACACUCUACACUGUGAUGUACCCCGUCUUCCACGAGUUGGAGAGAGUGAACCUGUCGGCAGCACAGACCCUGAGGACAGCGUUUCUAAUGGUAAGGACCCAUACACCAAAUCACUCUUCAUGGGAAAGGACAGUGUUUAUAAUGGUAAGGACCCAUACACCAAAUCACUCUUCAUGGGAAAGGACAGCGUUUAUAAUGGUAAGGACCCAUACAC